CCCGCCCACUCCCGCCAUCUUCCGUCAGAGAAUCCCGGCUCCUGCUGCAAUAAGAGGCUGUUCUGGAAGCUCUGGGGUUCGGGUCUUUGUCCCUGCAGUCUUUUCCAGCUAUUGUGUAGAACAUUUUGGGCAGGAGAAUCUAGGACCAAGCCACAUCAGUUCUCUCCUUAACCCACUCCAUUCGACUGUUAUCACAGCUAUGCUUCCAGAGUGCUCUGUGCAUUUUCACGAUCAGCAAACAAUGAAUAAAUCUCUGUCUGAAUGAGAGUUCCUGUUGCUGCACAUUCUCAAUAUCAGUUGUUGUCAGUGCUCCAGAUUUUGGCCAUUCUACUAGGAUUCCAGAACAAUGCUACGAGGGUCUGAAUGCCUGUCCCACACAUAGGAUUCUAGAACACCCCAGCUGUCGUCUGAAUGAUUGCCCCCCACAUAUGAUUCCAGAACACUGCUGCUGCGGUCUGAAUGAUUGUACCUCACACAGGAUUCCAGAACACUCCUCCUCUAGUCUGAAUGUUUGUCCCUCAGAUAAUAUUCCGGAACACUGCUGCUGGGUUCUGAGUGUUUGUCCCUCACAUAGGAUUCCAGAACACUGCUAAGAGGGUCUGAAUGUUUGUCCUUCACAUGAGAUUGCAGAACACUGCUAAGAGGGUACGAUUGUUUCUACCUCACAUAAGAUUCCAGAACACUUCUACGAGGGUCUGAAUCUUUGUCCCAUACAUAGGACUCCAGAACACUCCUGCUGUGUUCUGAAUGUGUUUUCCUAACAUAGGAUUCCAGAACAAUGCUACGAGGGUCUGAAUGCUUCUCCCACAAGUAGGAUUCCAGAACACCCCAGCUGCAGUCUGAAUGAUUGUCCCUCACAUAGGAUUCCAGAACACUGCUGCUGGGUUCUGAGUGUUUCUCCCUCACAUAGGAUUCCAGAACACUGGUACAAGGGUCUGAAUGAUUGUACCUCACAUAGGAUUCCAGAACACUCCUGCUCUGGUCUGAAUUUUUGUCCCUCAGAUAGGAUUCCAGAACACUACUACUGGGUUCUGAGUGUUUGUCUCCCACGUAGGAUUCCACAACACUGCUACGAGGGUCUGAAUGUUUGUCCCACACAUAGGACUCCAGAACACUCCUGCUCUGGUCUGAAUGUUUGUCCCUCAGAUAGGAUUCCAGAACACAGCUUCUGGGUUCUGAGUAUUUGUCCCUCACAUAGGAUUCCAGAACACUGCUACUGGGUUCUGAGUGUUUCUCCCUCACAUAGGAUUCCACAACACUGCUAAGAGUUUCUGAAUGUUUGUCUCAUACAUAGGAUUCCAGAACACUGCUACGUGGGUCUAAAUGUUUGUCCCUCACAUAGGAUUCCAGAACACUACUGAUGUGGUCUGAAUGCUUGACCCUCACAUAGGAUUCCAGAAUAUUCCUGUUGUCUUCUGGGUGUUUGUGACUCACAAGGGUUUCCAGAUCUAUCCUGCUGUGUUCUGAAUGUUUCCCCCUCAGAUAGGAUUCCAAAACAUUCCUUCUGUGGUCUGAGUGUUUGUCUCUCAAAUAGGAUUCCAAAACACUGCUACUGGGGUCUGAAUGUUUGUGCCUCAAAUAGGAUUCCAGAACACUGCUACGAGGGUCUGAAUUAUUCUCCCUCACAUAGCAUUCCAGAACACUCCUGCUGUGGUCUGAAUGUUUAUGCCUCACUCAGGAUUCCAGAACAUUCCUGCUGUGGUCUGAAUGGUUGUCCCUCACUUAGGAUUCCAGAACACUGCUGUUGGGUUCUGAGUGUUUGUCCCGCACAUAAGAUUCCAGAACACUGCUACUUGGGUGUCAAUGUUUGUCCCUCAGAUAGGAUUCCAGAACACUGCUGAUGGGGUCUGAAUGCUUGUCCCUCACAUUGGAUUCCAGAACACUCCUGCUGUGGUCUGAAUGUUUGAACAUCACAUAGGAUUACAGAACACUGCUGUGGGUUUCUGAGUAUUUGUCCCUCUCAUAGGAUUCCGGAACACUGCUACGAGAGUCUGAAUAUUUGUCCCACACAUAGGACUCCAGAACACUCCCGCUGUGUUCUGAAUGUAUUUUCCUAAAAUAGGAUUCCAGAACAAUGCUACGAGAGUCUGAAUGCGUUUCCAACCCGUAGGAUUCAAGAAGACCCCAGUUGUGGUCUCAAUGAUUGUCCCUCACAUAGGAUUCCAGAACACUGCUGCUGGGUUCUGAGUGUUUUUCCCUCACAUAGGAUUCCAGACCACUGCUACGAGGGUCUGAAUUAUUCUCCCUCACAUAGGAUUCCAGAACACUCCUGCUGUGGUCUGAAUGUUUGCCCCUCACUUAGGAUUCCAGAACACUGCUGCGGGGUUCUGAGUGUUUGUCCCUCACAUAGGAUUCCAGAACACUGUUACGAGGUUCUGAAAGUUUGUCCCUCACGUAGGAUUCCAUUACACUAGUGCUGUGGUCUGAAUGGUUGACACUCACAUAGGAUUCCAGAACAUUCCUGCUGUAUUCUGAAUGGUUGACCCUCACAUAGGAUUCCAGUACAUUCCUGCUGUGGUCUGGGUGUUUUUGCCUCACAUGGGAUUUCAUAACAAUCCUGCUGUGGUCUGACUGUUUGUCCCUCACAUAGGAUUCCAAAACAU